CAGUCUGGUAAUGCAUCUCCCAUUCCUUGCAGUGAGGGAUGCCCAGAUGGGUCGGAUAGAGGAUGGUCUCUCUAAUCAAUGGGCCAGGAGUGUUCUGUAGAUUUUCCUGAUUAAGGAGUCCAGGACUGUGCUCAGUUAGUUCCUAAGCUCAGCAGUAUCCAGUGUGUUUGUCACUAGUCACUUCUAAUGGCUAUGGUUUAUUUAGAUCCCAGUGCUCAUUCAGAGAGCAGUUUCCUGUGUGGGUUGUUAGGAAGUUAAUGAGUUCAUCUCUUCACAGUGCUUUGAAACAUUUCAGAUCUGUUUAAGGACUAAGUAUUGUUUUAAUGAUGAUAUUGCCAGAUUCCAUGGAAACAUCUGUCACUGAAUAUACAUAGAGAAUUAAUUUGAAGAGUUAAAUCUUGGUUGGUUGCAGUACUGCCCAUGCCCUUCCUUCCUAAGCUCAUUGAAUAGGCCAUUUACAGCUGUUUCCUCCAAUUCCUCUCCUCUACCCAUCAGAUCUGCUUUCCACCUUUUCUACUCCACCAAAACUUCCUGGCCCAGUCUCCACGCCCGUCCUUCUUGGCUACAUCUGACCAUUGUUGAUCUCACACUCUCUCUCUCUCUCUCUCUCUCUCUCUCUCUCUCUUUCACACUCACACACACACACACACACACACACACACGUAGUAGAAGUAUUGUGCUUCUUUGAAGUAUUGUGCUUCUUUGGUGCUCAUGAUGUCACCCUGUCCUGGUUCUCGUCCUGUCUCAGUUAUUGUUCUGACAGCAUCUAGUUUGGUUGGUCAUUAUCUUCCCCCCUCCCAUUCUGCCAACGAAACCUGCAGGCUUUCUCAUUGUCCAAUUCUUAUACAAGGGGUGUGUGUUUCCAUAGGGCCUAGAGGAUGGAACCCCAUCCUGAAUGGGGCCUCUGAGUAUUAAGUGAAGGCUAAAUACUAAACCACAUUACAGUGGGUGUCAUUCACAGAAGGCACCUCAGCCCUCACUUGCCUUUAUUACCUCCCCAAUGGAGUCAUAAACCAUAUGCCAUAGCAUAAUUCAACCCUGCAUAAGAGAGCCCACCGGGCCAGAAGAGCAACUGCCAGUAUUGAGUCCUAUCAGAGUGCUGAUAAGGAGCCCAUGUCAUGGUUUAUGAAGUAAUUGUUACAUUUUGCAUCCCACCGAUACUGCUAAAUAGAGCUCAUUGGAAAACUCACAUAUUUCACAGGAAAAAUGCCCCUUUGAAAUGUGAUCAGAUUAUUUUGGCUUUCUGGUCAUGUGAUUUUGUUUUGAAAUGACAUUUAGAAAUUAAAUGAAAACAUUCAUUUUUUUUAAUUAAAAUGUUAUUUUGUUUUGGAUUUUGGAAAUUGUAAUUCUUUGAUUUUUUAUUUUUUUUCAUUCUUGGUUUCUGAAUUGUCUUUUGUUCCCCCUUUCCUCCCUCCACUCCUCCCAUCCACCUGCUUUCUUUCUCUUUUUUAAUUCUUACCUUUUCCCCCACUGGACAGACAGAGGAGGAAAAGAUGAAGAAACUGUCGACACCAUCUACCUAUAUACGCGGAAGCGUCGUAUUGUUGGCAUUACCACGUAGCACUCCUUCUGACCAGUUAAGGUUGAAUGCAAAGAACAACAGCAGAACCAAAUGGAAAAUCCUCAUUAGUCUGUCCACUCCAUCCUCCAUUCUGGAGUGUUUCCUACCACACAUGGACUAUGCUUUUGCUUGCAGCCACCCGUGCCAUGCCCAGCAGCCAGCAGAGGGGUCUCUUGUUGUGCUGUAGCAGAAUCAAGCCCUCUGCAUAUCGUUCUAGACACAGAGCAAUGAGCUGGACUGAAACAGCUGUACUGACACUGGACGUCUCUGCAGGAAGCAGCUGUUCCUCUAGAAUCAGAGCAACUGAAGAGACCAGGGAGGUUUUCUUACGGGGCUGUCUCACUGUGAGAGGGAAGCUGACACUUUCUUGAUGAUGAUCUUCAUCAUCUGCUUCAACCACAUUGAUGAUGAGACUGUAAAUCGGAGUAACUGUUCCCUGACUGACUGCCCCUGAACCAGGCUGGGACCCCAGAGGGCAGGGUAGAGCCUGAAUAAUAAGAAGGGGAGCCUGUCCUGAUUUCUGCGGGUACCAGACUAUAUAGGUGCUAGCACUUGCACUGGCUUUGCAAUUGAUUGUGACUCUUUCUUCUUGGUCAUCACAAUCUCCUGACUGGAGUUUUGAUGAAAAAUAAGAUAAGUAACUAGAUCUAUAUGAAAAUAAAAAUAAGAUGUAUUGUUUUA